UACGGAGGAUGCGAGCGUUAUCCGGAUUUAUUGGGUUUAAUGGGUGCGUAGGCGGGAUAAUAAGUCAGCGGUGAAAGUUUUCGGCUCAACCGGAAAAUUGCCGUUGAAACUGUUGUUCUUGAGUGCAGAAGAGGUAGGCGGAAUUCGUUAUGUAGCGGUGAAAUGCGUAGAUAUAACGAAGAACACCAAUUGCGUAGGCAGCUUACCAUACUGCAACUGACGCUGAGGCUCGAAAGCGUGGGGAGCAAACAGGAUUAGAUACCCUGGUAGU
rnacentral:rRNA from 1 species